CUUUUAUGUCUCCUUUUCUUCCAGAAGCUGGCCUGGAAAUAAGCUCCUAUCCCAGCAACAAAGGGCUGCAUCCCUGUGGCUGGCAACGAAUCCUCCUAUACUGAAAUACUUUCCAAAAUGCUGUUCCUGGUUGACUUAUGUGGAAACGUCUGCUCAUCAUUGCAGCAUGGCGUGCACUGUCAUAGAGGAGUGCAUGACUGCAAUUGGAUGUCAUGACCAAUGAUGUACCAGUCACCGAGGAUCAUCAAUCAAAAAGUAGUUCUUAGCCAGGCUCGGUGGCUCAGCCUGUAAUCCCGCACUUUUGGGAGGCUGAGGGAUCUCUUCUUCAGAGAAGGCCUUGGAUAUAACUGUCAGUCUCUGGAGUGAAGGAUAUCAGCCUCAUGUCCUCAGAAAGUCAAAUAGUCUUCAGUAAUUUUAUCAUGUUUGGUUACUUGUCAUGACCAUCAUUAGUUCAUAAGAUCCAGUGGGCCCCCUGAGGCAAAGGAACUAUUAGUUCUGGAGUUGAACUGAACUCUGAAUGAAUACAAGUACUUUAUCCCUUGACACCCGUAUGAUACUGGAGCAAUGACAGCCUUCAGAUGCUCUCAACCUGGUGUUUCAUGAGGUCCAAGAGUCUCCUCCAACUUCAGGGAGAAGAGGAUUUUGUCGAGCGUGAGAGACUGGACAGCCAGGCACAUGAAUACAUACUAAAGCAUUAUUUUUCUAAACUUCUGCCAGAUGACCUUAGUCACGCAUCUUCUGAGGUCUCAGGGAGUGUGGAAUGGUGAUGCAAACAAGUAGAGGGUGCCAAAGUCAUGUUGAGAGGGGACACAAACUAAGCAGUAGAUAAAAAAUCCACUUGUGAAAUCCUCAACACUCUUGAAACCUCAAGAGGUGGAACAUCACUGAUUACAAGCAGCAGGCAAGAUUCAAACAUUUCACAUAUUGCUCAAGAAACCUAAUUAUUACACUGUAGACCACUUUGCAAUUUGAGAUAUGAGAGGAUACGCAUAUAAAAUGUAUCACCCUAAACCCCAUGUAUGCUGUGUUCUUUGGCUCUUGAUCGUUGGGGAUCGCCAGACAUUGCCUGAAAACAGAGGUCCCAACUGAAAUGUAUUGUGUCAUCUACAUGUAUUUGAAGAAAGGUCUGUGGGAGGCAGCAUCCCAGUGGAAGUAUUUGUUUCCUUUUUGACACGUGCUUUUUGGCUCCUUUUCUCCCAGUAGCUGGCAUGGAAAUAUGCUGCUAUCCCAGCAACAAAGGAUUGCAUCCAGGUGGCUGGCCAGGGAUCCUCUGAAAAUGAAAUAUUCUCCAAAACGAUAAUCCUGGUUGACUUGUGAGCAUAUAAGUGUCCUUGCGAUGGAUAUGGGAUUUGCAGAUACUUUUGUUGGGUCAAUGAUGAGGACUUUAUAUUGCCUUGAGGAGCGGUGAUGACUUAAAUAUCACGUACAAUGUGGAAACUUCUGCUCAGUGUGGCUGCAUGGCAUACAUCUUCCUAGGGGAGUGCAUGGCUGCGAUCAGUUGUCAUGACCAGUGAUUUACCAGUAACCAAGGUUCAUCAAUCAUUGAGGAGUUCCUGCUC